GAUGAAGAACGCAGCGAAAUGCGAUAAGUAAUGUGAAUUGCAGAAUUCAGUGAAUCAUCGAGUCUUUGAACGCACAUUGCGCCCCCUGGUAUUCCGGGGGGCAUGCCUGUCCGAGCGUCAUUGCUGCCCUCAAGCACGGCUUGUGUGUUGGGCCCCCGCCCCCCGGUCCCGGGGGGCGGGCCCGAAAGGCAGCGGCGGCACCGCGUCCGGUCCUCGAGCGUAUGGGGCUUUGUCACCCGCUCUGUAGGCCCGGCCGGCGCCCGCCGGCGACCCCAAUCAAUCUUUUUCAGGUUGACCUCGGAUCAGGUAGGGAUACCCGCUGAACUUAAGUAUAUCAAUAAGCGGAGGA
rnacentral:misc_RNA from 1 species